AGCUCCAGUGGCCUAGUGGUUAGAGCAUCCGCCUCGGAUGCGGGAGGUCGGGGGGUUCAAACCCCGGCCGAGUCA